AUUCCGUGGUGUGGACACGCCAGAAUGUACUCCUGAAGUCUCUCACAAGCUUCAGGGAUUAACUCAUUUGAUGCCUACUGGAAGUUCGAAAUCCUUCUGCGAAGAGC